UGUGUAUAUAAUGAAUGCAGAGUGUGUAUGUAUAUAAAAAUGAGGGAGAAGAGGGCAUUAAUUUUGAAACAGUUUGUUUUGUUUAUGGCAUUCCCUGGUGGUCCAGUGGCAGGGACUGUGCAGUGGAGGGCCCCGCAGCAAGCUCUUACCUUCACAGCAGCUCUCUGGUCUCUCGUGACUUGAGUGCCGUGCAGAGCAUUGCCAUGGUAAUAGAUAGGGUGAAUCAUGCUAGCUUAUUGCCAACAAAAUCUACACAUAAUUUUGCUAUGCUCUCUGUACAAUGCGAUUACAAAAAUUAUAGGUAUAGAACAAAUCUCAACUAUAGACGUUUAGAAAGAAAAAAAGGUUAAUCCCUCUAAUCAUUUGUUCUUACAGUUAUGAGAAAAUGAGAAUAUUCCUGUUGAACAGGUCAACAAGUCAAUCCACAGGAAGCAUGGGAGUAAACUAAAAUAAUCCUGUAGCGCCACAUUGCCUUAAAGGGACACUCCAGGCACCUAGACCACUUCUUGGAGUGGUCUGGUUGCCAACUCCCACUACUCUUAACCCUGCAAGUGUAAUUAUUGCAGUGUUAACUCCACCUCUAGUAGCUGUCUACUAGACAGCCACUAGAGGGCAUUUCCUGCAUCAUAGCACAGAAAACCUGUAUGUGUGUGAGGUCCUCCAGCGUCGCUCAAUUCCCCAUAGGAAAGCAUUUCCAAUGCGUUGCAGGUCUCCCCAGCCGGUGGGCGGGAUCAGUCUCACCCACUGGCCGAUGUAAUACAGAGGAGGAGCGGCGGCGGAUGAGGAAGCAGCGACGUGGGAUAUGGCACUGCCUCUGGUAAUUCACUGAAGGGGUUUUCACCCCUUCAGCAACCGGGGAUUGGGAGGUGGGAGGGAGAUGGGACCUGCAAUGCCAGGAAAACGGAUUGUUUUCCUGACACUGAAGUUUCCCUUUAACCCCUUCAGGAUGAAGUCAAUAGUACACGUUCUGAUCAAAACAAAAAUGUAAACAAAAACUGGUAUUUGCGCUAUAUGUCUGUUCAACGGUAAUUCAC